AAAUAAUUUUGACAAAUUUAGUCUAUUAGCGAAUAUCUAUCCAUCAUAUCCAACACACACAACCAAGAUAGAUUAAUCUCCAAGAGAUCAAAUUUGAUUUCAAAAUUUUGAUGAAUAUCUGUGUUAAGAAUUCGUAUAUUAAAUUAUCGUCAAAAUAAUAAAAAGUGGAGUAAAACCGAUAAUUAAUAUGAAUUUAACUUAAUAUGAAUGAGAAUUUAAAUACAGGUUAAGGCACUUUGAAGAAAUUUUAAUCCCCUCAAGAUAAUGAUUUUCAAUCGUCUCCUUUCUCAAAGAAAAUUUUUAAAUUCCCAAACACUUUUCCUCAAAUUAAUUUUAAAAACAAAUUUCACUUCGUCUCCUUUCACUUCGUUUUUUUUUAAAACAAAUUACAUGCACGAAAAUCAUCAUGUAAUGCAAUAAAUAAAAAUAUGCA
rnacentral:lncRNA from 1 species